GCCGGAUUUGAACGGAUAGCUCUGAUGCUGCUAAUUAUGGGGUGAACACCUCCGAUA
rnacentral:tRNA from 1 species